rnacentral:rRNA from 1 species
GAGUUUGAUUCUGGCUCAGAUUGAACGCUGGCGGCAUGCUUUACACAUGCAAGUCGGACGGCAGCACAGAGAAGCUUGCUUCUUGGGUGGCGAGUGGCGAACGGGUGAGUAACGCAUCGGAACGUACCGAGUAGUGGGGGAUAACUGUCCGAAAGGAUGGCUAAUACCGCAUACGCUUUGAGAAGGAAAGCGGGGGAUCUUCGGACCUCGCGCUAUUCGAGCGGCCGAUGUCUGAUUAGCUAGUUGGUGGGGUAAAGGCCUACCAAGGCGACGAUCAGUAGCGGGUCUGAGAGGAUGAUCCGCCACACUGGGACUGAGACACGGCCCAGACUCCUACGGGAGGCAGCAGUGGGGAAUUUUGGACAAUGGGCGCAAGCCUGAUCCAGCCAUGCCGCGUGUCUGAAGAAGGCCUUCGGGUUGUAAAGGACUUUUGUCAGGGAAGAAAAGCUUUGGGUUAAUA